GAUGAACGCUGGCGGCGUGCCUAAUACAUGCAAGUCGAGCGAACGGACGAGGAGCUUGCUUCUCUGAUGUUAGCGGCGGACGGGUGAGUAACACGUGGAUAACCUACCUAUAAGACUGGGAUAACUUCGGGAAACCGGAGCUAAUACCGGAUAAUAUUUUGAACCGCAUGGUUCAAAAGUGAAAGACGGUCUUGCUGUCACUUAUAGAUGGAUCCGCGCUGCAUUAGCUAGUUGGUAAGGUAACGGCUUACCAAGGCAACGAUGCAUAGCCGACCUGAGAGGGUGAUCGGCCACACUGGAACUGAGACACGGUCCAGACUCCUACGGGAGGCAGCAGUAGGGAAUCUUCCGCAAUGGGCGAAAGCCUGACGGAGCAACGCCGCGUGAGUGAUGAAGGUCUUCGGAUCGUAAAACUCUGUUAUUAGGGAAGAACAUAUGUGUAAGUAACUGUGCACAUCUUGACGGUACCUAAUCAGAAAGCCACGGCUAACUACGUGCCAGCAGCCGCGGUAAUACGUAGGUGGCAAGCGUUAUCCGGAAUUAUUGGGCGUAAAGCGCGCGUAGGCGGUUUUUUAAGUCUGAUGUGAAAGCCCACGGCUCAACCGUGGAGGGUCAUUGGAAACUGGAAAACUUGAGUGCAGAAGAGGAAAGUGGAAUUCCAUGUGUAGCGGUGAAAUGCGCAGAGAUAUGGAGGAACACCAGUGGCGAAGGCGACUUUCUGGUCUGUAACUGACGCUGAUGUGCGAAAGCGUGGGGAUCAAACAGGAUUAGAUACCCUGGUAGUCCACGCCGUAAACGAUGAGUGCUAAGUGUUAGGGGGUUUCCGCCCCUUAGUGCUGCAGCUAACGCAUUAAGCACUCCGCCUGGGGAGUACGACCGCAAGGUUGAAACUCAAAGGAAUUGACGGGGACCCGCACAAGCGGUGGAGCAUGUGGUUUAAUUCGAAGCAACGCGAAGAACCUUACCAAAUCUUGACAUCCUUUGACAACUCUAGAGAUAGAGCCUUCCCCUUCGGGGGACAAAGUGACAGGUGGUGCAUGGUUGUCGUCAGCUCGUGUCGUGAGAUGUUGGGUUAAGUCCCGCAACGAGCGCAACCCUUAAGCUUAGUUGCCAUCAUUAAGUUGGGCACUCUAAGUUGACUGCCGGUGACAAACCGGAGGAAGGUGGGGAUGACGUCAAAUCAUCAUGCCCCUUAUGAUUUGGGCUACACACGUGCUACAAUGGACAAUACAAAGGGCAGCGAAACCGCGAGGUCAAGCAAAUCCCAUAAAGUUGUUCUCAGUUCGGAUUGUAGUCUGCAACUCGACUACAUGAGGCUGGAAUCGCUAGUAAUCGUAGAUCAGCAUGCUACGGUGAAUACGUUCCCGGGUCU
rnacentral:rRNA from 1 species